rnacentral:rRNA from 1 species
ACACAUGCAGUCGAGCGGAUGAAGGAGCUUGCUCCUGGAUUCAGCGGCGGACGGGUGAGUAAUGCCUAGGAAUCUGCCUGGUAGUGGGGGACAACGUUUCGAAAGGAACGCUAAUACCGCAUACGUCCUACGGGAGAAAGCAGGGGACCUUCGGGCCUUGCGCUAUCAGAUGAGCCUAGGUCGGAUUAGCUAGUUGGUGAGGUAAUGGCUCACCAAGGCGACGAUCCGUAACUGGUCUGAGAGGAUGAUCAGUCACACUGGAACUGAGACACGGUCCAGACUCCUACGGGAGGCAGCAGUGGGGAAUAUUGGACAAUGGGCGAAAGCCUGAUCCAGCCAUGCCGCGUGUGUGAAGAAGGUCUUCGGAUUGUAAAGCACUUUAAGUUGGGAGGAAGGGUUGUAGAUUAAUACUCUGCAAUUUUGACGUUACCGACAGAAUAAGCACCGGCUAACUCUGUGCCAGCAGCCGCGGUAAUACAGAGGGUGCAAGCGUUAAUCGGAAUUACUGGGCGUAAAGCGCGCGUAGGUGGUUCGUUAAGUUGGAUGUGAAAUCCCCGGGCUCAACCUGGAACUGCAUCCAAAACUGGCGAGCUAGAGUAUGGUAGAGGGGUGGGGGGGAAUUUCCUGUGUAGCGGUGAAAUGCGUAGAUAUAGGAAGGGAACACCAGUGGCGAAGCGACCACCUGGGACUGAUACUGACC